AACUCAUUCCCGUCUCACCCUCCCCCCACCCUUCGUCUCACCUAUCCUCCCCCUCCCCCCCACCCACCCAACCAACCCCCACGUCGCCCAAUCUGUCCCCAAACCCUCCCUCUGCUCUAAGGCUGCAACCAUCCCUCUGCCCAGCACCACACAUUCUCUCCCUCAACCCUCCCUCUGCCUAGCAACUCUGUUGUCUUCGAAUAUCCCUCUAUGUAGCAUCCCCUCCAACGGGCUAAGGUAUUUAUUCUUAUAAAAUGCGUUCAAAAAGGAUUAUAUGAAAUUCUAGGCUAAGAGCUGCAAGGUUUGGAGGUCUUGGUAGUGGACCAUUUGACUAGAUAAGGCUCUUAUAAGCUUGUAGUUAUGUUAUGCUUGGAAGAUAUGGGAUGAUGUAUUGCUUCGCGAGCAUGAAGAUCGUAAAAUGGAAGAUGAAGUACAAGAGAGAGACAACUCUACGAAAUGAAAAGCAAAAAUUAUUUUGUUUGUACUGGAUUGUCACAAUUGUAAUAGUUUUGACUUCAUUCUGAUAAACUGUAUGUAAAUAGCACGUUGGAGUAUAUUGUUUUUGAAUAGAUCAAUUGUAAUGGUACUCCCCCUAUGUAGGUUCAUUAAAUUAACAUUUGAAAUAAAAAGUUGUGUAAUGAAAACAGCUUGUGCACAUCUCAUGAAUGAUUUCAGUUUUGA